CCUACGGGUGGCAGCAGUGGGGAAUAUUGCACAAUGGGGGAAACCCUGAUGCAGCGACGCCGCGUGAGUGAAGACGUACUUCGUUAUGUAAAGCUCUAUCAGCAGGGAAGAAAAUGACGGUACCUGAGUAAGAAGCCGCGGCUAACUACGUGCCAGCAGCCGCGGUAAUACGUAGGGGGCAAGCGUUAUCCGGAUUUACUGGGCGUAAAGGGAGCGUAGGCGGCCUGCCAAGUCUGAUGGGAAAUACCGGGGCUCAACCCCGGGGGUGCAUUGGAAACUGGCAGUCUGGAGUUCCGGAGAGGCAGGCGGAAUUCGUAGUGUAGCGGUGAAAUGCGUAGAUAUUAGGAAGAACACCAGUGGCGAAGGCGGCCUGCUGGACGGCGACUGACGCUGAGGCUCGAAAGCGUGGGGAGCAAACAGGAUUAGAUACCCGGGUAGUC
rnacentral:rRNA from 1 species